UAAAAUCCCAUGAGAUAUUGAAGGUGAACAAACUACGAUGAUCCCUAUUUCAAGUCUUCCUCCUCUUUUUGGCUGUUGACUCUGACUACGAAUGUGAUGAUUCAGAAGAUGAAGAAACUCGAACUCCUAAUAAGGUGUGCACUGGUCGACCCUGUUUGUUGUUAUUGUAGCAUGCUUGUUACCCUUGCUUGCUUGUUCUUCACAUACUCCUUUUUGUGUUCAAUUACCAACGAAAAGUGACCACCGUAGCUGAAUUUUGUUUUAUUCCAGGUGACAAAAAGGGCUUUAAUGUGGCAAACGGGAUACUCAUUUGAGAAAGGAUGCUACAAAGGUUCAUGAAUGCUACAACUGUUCAAAGGUGAAGUUCCCCAAUGUGAAAGACAAAGACCAUAUCCUAGCGAAGCUGGGAUAAGGGCAAUUGUGAACACCCGUGUUCUUUGAGAGUUUAGUACUUAGUAGACAUAUAACUCAGAAGAGAAAGAUUGACUGCAUGAAAAUGAAACAUCAAGCUGAUUAGUACUUAGUAGACAUAUAACUCAGAAGAGAAAGAUUGACUGCAUGAAAAUUAAACAUCAAGCUGAUGAUAAAGGGUUGACUGAAUGAAAACAUCAAUCUUCUUUUUUAGAAAAAGAAAACAUCAAUCUGACGAGAGGGUCCUUUUGUAGAUAAUCUCUUGGAGCAAAGCACUCCAUCCUUUGAAUGUAAGUUAGCAUCGAAAUAUUAUUUGCAGAUACUCUCUCAGAGCAAAAGACUCAUCUUUUGGCAAAGGACUGCAGAAAUGCAACACAAUGUUGCAACAUCACAGCAGCUGAUACAAGUAGGCCAGUGAGCAGGCAAAUGGAUCCUACGACAGUGUUUAUGAAGUGAUUGGAAGUUGGAACUGUGCCAAGUGUGUUGUUGU
rnacentral:lncRNA from 1 species